rnacentral:rRNA from 1 species
AAAGCUCGUAGUCGAAUCUGUGUCCCGCGCCGCUGGUUCAUCGUUCGCGGUGUUAACUGGCGUGCCGCGGGACGUCCUGCCGGUGGGCUUAGCUCGCAAGGGGGCCCAACUCAAUCCCGCCGCGGUGCUCUUCACUGAGUGUCGAGGUGGGCCGGCACGUUUACUUUGAACAAAUUAGAGUGCUUAAAGCAGGCUAAAACUUCGCCUGAAUACUGUGUGCAUGGAAUAAUGGAAUAGGACCUCGGUUCUAUUUUGUUGGUUUUCGGAACCCCGAGGUAAUGAUUAAUAGGAACGGAUGGGGGCAUUCGUAUUGCGACGUUAGAGGUGAAAUUCUUGGAUCGUCGCAAGACGGACAGAAGCGAAAGCAUUUGCCAAAAACGCUUUCAUUGAUCAAGAACGAAAGUUAGAGGUUCGAAGGCGAUCAGAUACCGCCCUAGUUCUAACCAUAAACGAUGCCAGCUAGCGAUCCGCCGACGUUCCUCCGAUGACUCGGCGGGCAGCUUCCGGGAAACCAAAGCUUUUGGGUUCCGGGGGAAGUAUGGUUGCAAAGCUGAAACU